rnacentral:misc_RNA from 1 species
UACGUAGGAGGCAAGCGUUAUCCGGAUUAAUUGGGCGUAAAGCGUGCGUAGGCGGUCUUGUAAGUCGCAGUUUAAAGCCUGGGGCUCAACCCCAGUAUGGGUUGCGAUACUGCAAGACUUAGAGGAUUGUUCGGGGUAUCGGAACAGUUGGUGUAGCGGUGAAAUGCGUUGAUAUCAACUGGAUCACCGAAGGCGAAGGCAGAUACCUGGAAUUAUCCUGACGCUGAGGUACGAAAGCUAGGGGAGCGAAAGGG